CGCGUAGGCGGCCUAUUAAGUCGGUUGUGAAAUCUCUCGGCUCAACUGAGAGGGGUCAACCGAAACUGGUGGGCUUGAGGACAGCAGAGGGAAGUGGAAUUCCCGGUGUAGUGGUGAAAUGCGUAGAUAUCGGGAGGAACACCAGUGGCGAAGGCGGCUUCCUGGGCUGUUCCUGACGCUGAGGCGCGAAAGCGUGGGUAGCAAACAGGAUUAGAUACCCUGGUAGUCCACGCCGUAAACUAUGGACACUAGGUAUGGGGGGUAUCGACCCCCUCCGUGCCGAAGUUAACGCUAUAAGUGUCCCGCCUGGGGAGUACGGCCGCAAGGCUAAA
rnacentral:rRNA from 1 species